UUUAAACACUUAAAAUGGCACUACUAUUAAAGCCUUCGGAAAUAUAUUAUUCCCAGAACAGUAUCAGCUGUUAUUUUCAAACACCUAGAAAACGAAUAGGCGAAACAUUAGAUGAUUUAUAUGAAGGAAGGAUUUCCGUUUCGGAUAUCAAACGUAUAUCUGUCUCGAGAGUUAAAGGUCGAUGGAUUUCGUGGGCCAACAGAAGACUGUGGGUCUUUCGGCAGCUUGAAAGGUUGGGAAAUGUGACCGGAUAUUCUGUAGAGAGGAGAAAACCAUUAAUUACUCAAAAAUGACUUCUAAAUGUGAAGGAACUAAAAUAAAGGUAAGGGGCAAACCUGGCGGUCACUGUCAGUUGCCCGAAUUACAGGGUGCUACGGGGGCAGAGUGCGGAGAGGUUGGUACAUGAAAACUUUGGUUUGACACUGGUAUCUGCUAGCUACUGGUAUGACGUGGAUGUGAUGGGUGAUCCUGGAGGCCGGUGGCACGAGGAGGACUCUCGGGCCCGGAAACUCUGUUGAUUGUUGCCAGAUGUUAUUUGGCAAUUUGAACUUGUUCAUGAUUGUUACAACGAAAACGUAAAAUAAGUAAAAAGUUUCAAUUGUAACCGGAACAUGAAAAUAAAUUCAUCUUGGUUGAAUACAGUUGUACAUUUAGUGUGUGAUACAACAUAAAAUGGCGCAUUAUUUUUGUAUAUCGAAGUAAUUAUUGCUUCCUUUAUUUGUUUUUCAUUUUACUGUUGUAAAAUAGAAUACCUGAGAAAUAAAUUUUAUUGUAAUAAAUGUA
rnacentral:lncRNA from 1 species